GUACUUACCUGGCAGGGGAGAUACCAUAAUCACAAAUAUGGUUUUCCCACAGCGAAGCUUAUCCAUUGCACUCCAGAUGUGCUGACCCCUGUUAUUUCUCCAAACAUAAGAAACUUGGCAGCAGAAUUAAUGGUAGUGGGGGUCUGCAUUCACUCUCUCCCCCG